GACGAACGCUGGCGGCGUGCCUAAUACAUGCAAGUCGAGCGGUCCCUUCGGGGAUAGCGGCGGACGGGUGAGUAACACGUAGGCAACCUGCCUGUAAGACCGGAAUACCUAUCGGAAACGAUAGCUAAGACCGGAUAGCUGGUUUUCCCGCAUGAGAGAAUCAUGAAACACGGGGCAACUUGUGGCUGACAGAUGGGCCUGCGGUGCAUUAGCUAGUUGGUAGGGUAACGGCCUACCAAGGCGACGAUGCGUAGCCGACCUGAGAGGGUGGCCGGCAACACUGGGACUGAGACACGGCCCAGACUCCUACGGGAGGCAGCAGUAGGGAAUCUUCCGCAAUGGACGCAAGUCUGACGGAGCAACGCCGCGUGAGUGAUGAAGGUCUUCGGAUCGUAAAGCUCUGUUGCCCUAGACGAACAGGAAGGAGAGUAACUGCUCGUUGUGUGACGGUAUAGGAGAAGAAAGCCCAGGCUAACUACGUGCCAGCCGCCGCUGUAA
rnacentral:rRNA from 1 species